rfam:Ornithorhynchus anatinus chromosome 4, whole genome shotgun sequence.
AGCAGCGUGGCUCAGUGGAAAGAGCAUGGGCUUGGGAGUCAGAGGUCAUGGGUUCAAAUCCCAGCUCAGCCA